CCUACGGGUGGCAGCAGUGAGGAAUAUUGGUCAAUGGGCGCGAGCCUGAACCAGCCAAGUAGCGUGAAGGAUGACUGCCCUAUGGGUUGUACACUUCUUUUAUAUGGGAAUAAAACGUUCCACGUGUGGGCUUUUGUAUGUACCAUAUGAAUAAGGAUCGGCUAACUCCGUGCCAGCAGCCGCGGUAAUACGGAGGAUCCGAGCGUUAUCCGGAUUUAUUGGGUUUAAAGGGAGCGUAGGUGGAUUGUUAAGUCAGUUGUGAAAGUUUGCGGCUCAACCGUAAAAUUGCAGUUGAAACUGGCAGUCUUGAGUACAGUAGAGGUGGGUGGAAUUCGUGGUGUAGCGGUGAAAUGCUUAGAUAUCACGAAGAACUCCGAUUGCGAAGGCAGUUCACUGGACUGCAACUGACACUGAGGCUCGAAAGUGUGGGUAUCAAACAGGAUUAGAUACCCGGGUAGUC
rnacentral:rRNA from 1 species